CUUCCGCCGGCGACCGGCGCACGGGUGAGUAACACGUAUGCAACCUGCCCCUGUCAGGGGGACAACCCGCCGAAAGGCGGGCUAAACCCGCGUACAUGCCACCGGGGCAUCCCGGAGGCAGGAAAGGCUUCGGCCGGACAGGGAUGGGCAUGCGGCGCAUUAGGCAGUAGGCGGGGUAACGGCCCACCUAACCGACGAUGCGUAGGGGUUCUGAGAGGAAGGUCCUCCACACUGGUACUGAGACACGGACCAGACUCCUACGGAAGGCAGCAG
rnacentral:rRNA from 1 species